rnacentral:lncRNA from 9 species
AUGUCACAAUCAGAUAUCAUGAAGGCAUCGCUCAUUAGUCACUCAAGCCCUUAUUCAUGUCACCAGACUCAUUCCCUCAGCCACGUCACCUGUGCAACCCUCUCAUUCCCCCAUGUUCAUUCCUCUUCCUUCCUUCUUCCUCUUCCUCCACUUAGAACUGAUGCUCAGAACAUCCUGCCUCUUCUUCCCUUCAUCUUCCUUUACAACUCAGUUUUCCCACCACCUCCUUCAGGAGGCUUCUUUAUAUGAGACCAAUUCAGAGAAUGAAUUAUAUACUUCCGAGUGGCUAAGAAUAUAACUAGCCAUGAAAGUGAGUGGCGUUAGAAAUGGGGUUGAGCAGUAGUGUGUAAGACCGAGUUAAAAGUUCAAAGCCAAAUAUUCUAAUUUAAUGGCCCUUUAUGAACAUAAAGCAAAUGGUCACCAAACAAAUUUGCUUGUUCUCAGAGUAUAACCUUGCAGAUACAGGUACUUGAUACAAACAUGUCAGUUUUCUUUAUAUUAUUUUCCUUCACUGAACAUCUAGAAAGCAGAAUUGAAGAAGAGAAAAUAUAAACAUUCCUUGCUCUUAACUUGUAAAUCUUCAAAAGAAACUUCUGACCUAUGCAUCAAUUAUAUGGGAAAUUAAAAUCAAAGUAAGAAUAAUUUUCUCAUUCCACAGUUGGUACUGUGUGUGGUUGAAUUACCCAAGGGGGAAGUUUAGAACACCAAUCACUGUCCACUGGCCUUUUUUUCAAAUUCUGUCCCACAGUUUGCCAGAUUUCUCUGAUGAAGCUCAAGCAGCUCUGAGAAUUAAUGCAGUUGUUAAGGCAGGUACUUAAAGUAUAAGCAUUAGAGAUUAGCUCUGAGCCUUACAUAGAAAAACUGCCAGAAAACUAGGGAGAAAAGAGCAUAGGCUCUUAAGAGCAUAGGAGCAGCAAGAAAGUUUUCUGUCUACACAAGCACACAUAUAUAAUUAUUUACGUAUAAAUGAUAUGAUAUGCUUUAGAGUCUGGAGGGAUUGUUACAGGAACAUUAAACACCAGGGAAAAUAAUUUUUUUGGAAAAGGAAUGCAU